rnacentral:lncRNA from 10 species
GUCUCGGCUCACUGCAACCUCCGCCUCCCGGCUUCAAGUGAUUCUCCUGCCUCAGCCUCCCCAGUAGCUGGGAUCACGUAGCGCCCGCCAGCAUGCCUGGCUAAGUUUUGUAUUUUUAGUAAAGACAGGGUUUCACCAUGUUGGCCAGGCUGGUCUUGAACUGCCGACCUUGUGAUCCGCCCGCCUCUGCCUCCUAAAGUGCUGGGAUUACAGGCAUGAGCCCGGCCGAAAUACAAUUUAAUUAAAAUACUUAUUUUCUUAUUAGAAAGCUGCCUCUCAAUGGCACCUACUGCUACAUUUACAUAGUAACCCAAAAUUGCAGUUGCUUAGCAGGGAGAGAAUCACAGUGCUGGAUAUUAUUUAUACUUUUUCUUCCAAAACGAUUUGAGGAAGUACUGUGCUGGCCAUUGUUUACAUCAUAUUAGGAGAUCUGGAUGUCACUUUCUUUUCCCAUAUCCUCGAUUUCCUCACUUUUUAAAAUGUCAUGUGUUUUUGUAAGUUUUCUUAAAUCCUUUGGAAAUGUGAUGACGGUGAAAAAUCCCUGAAGGCUUCUAUACACCUGUUGGCAUGGAAUAUUUUGCAACCCGUUUCUUCCCUACAAACAGAAGAGACAACUAAAUACGGUUUGAUCUACAUCUGCAAGAGCCUAGCCAUUCAGUAUUAAAAAGUGAUGGCCCUGGUUGACGGUACCACACCUGAAGACCUAUGCCCUUUCCUUCACACUCCCUACUUCUGCAUUUCUUCCCUCCUGAACGUCUAUCAAGUGGACCAUAUGAAAUUGCCAGUAUUCAACUGUUUUUUAUCUUAAAAGGUGACAAUUCUAUAUCAUUCAACCUAAAUUAAUGUCUCAAGAACAUAACCUUUGUUUCUAUUAUUGUGACCUUACUUUUAACCAUCCUAGAGCUCUUUAACCUGUUCACACUGGAUUUCAAGGAUCUUAAGUUGUUCUACUACAUAAUCACUAUCACACUUCAGAAACAUUUUAGUUUACAUUAAAUACACUUAACCCCCUCAUAUUUCAUCUCUUCCUUUCUCAAAAAUAGUAAUAAAUAACCUCAAGCCAUUAAA